rnacentral:rRNA from 1 species
AAAGAGUGCGUAAUAGCUCACUGGUCGAGUGAAUGUGCGCCGAAAAUGUACCGGGGCUAAACCACACACCGAAGUCUUGGGAUUGCGUAAGCAAUCGGUAGGGGAGCAACGAAUACGGGCUGAAGCGGAAUCGUAAGAGACCGUGGACUGUAUUGGAGAGAGAAUGCCGGCAUGAGUAGCGAGAGCAAAGUGAGAAUCUUUGCCGUCGAAAGCCUAAGGUUUCCUGAGGAAGGUUCGUCCUCUCAGGGUAAGUCGGGGCCUAAGCCGAGGACAAAAGUCGUAGGCGAUGGACAACAGGUUGAUAUUCCUGUACCACGACAAUUCGUUUGACUGACGCAGUGACACAGAAGGAUAGGCAGAGCGGGGCGAUGGUAGACCCCGUCCAAGCGGUGAGGCUGGAACGUAGUGAAGUACGCGUUCUAAGGCUGGGCCGUGAUGGGUACCGAAAAUAAGUAGGGAAGCUGUUGAAUUCACGCUGGCAAGAAAAGCUGCUAGGGAGAGUUGUUGUGCCCGUACCGCAAACCGACACAGGUGGGCGAGGAGAGAAUCCUAAGACGAACGGGAGAACCCUUGUUAAGGAACUCGGCAAAAUGACCCCGUAACUUCGGGAGAAGGGGUGCCUCGAAAGAGGCCGCAGAGAAUAGGCCCAAGCGACUGUUUAGCAAAAACACAGGUCUGUGCGAAGUAGAGAUACGACGUAUACGGGCUGACGCCUGCCCAGUGCCGGAAGGUUAAGGGGAAGUGUUAGGGCAACCGAAGCACGGAACUUAAGCCCCGGUGAACGGCGGCCGUAACUAUAACGGUCCUAAGGUAGCGAAAUUCCUUGUCGGGUAAGUUCCGACCCGCACGAAUGGCGUAACGACUUGGGCACUGUCUCAACAAGGGACCCGGCGAAAUUGUAGUAUGUGUGAAGAUGCACAUUACCCGCGACUGGACGGAAAGACCCCGUAGAGCUUUACUGUAGCUUGGCAUUGGAUUUUGGUAACAUAUGCACAGAAUAGGUGGGAGGCUUUGAAGCAGCGACUCCGGUCGUUGUGGAGCCACCUUUGGGAUACCACUCUUGUGUUACUGAGGUUCUAACGAGCGGCCGUGAUCCGGCGUUCGGACAGUGCCAGGUGGGCAGUUUGACUGGGGCGGUCGCCUCCGAAAGAGUAACGGAGGCGUUCAAAGGUUUCCUCAGAAUGGUUGGAAACCAUUCGAAGAGUGCAAAGGCAGAAGGGAGCCUGACUGCGAGACCGACAGGUCGAGCAGAUACGAAAGUAGGACUUAGUGAUCCGGCGGUAUGAGAGUGGAAUUGCCGUCGCUCAACGGAUAAAAGCUACCUCGGGGAUAACAGGCUUAUCUCCCCCAAGAGUCCACAUCGACGGGGAGGUUUGGCACCUCGAUGUCGGCUCGUCGCAUCCUGGGGCUGGAGUAGGUCCCAAGGGUUUGGCUGUUCGCCAAUUAAAGCGGCACGCGAGCUGGGUUCAGAACGUCGUGAGACAGUUCGGUCCCUAUCCAUCGUGGGCGCAGGAGAUUUGAGAGGAGCUGUCCUUAGUACGAGAGGACCGGGAUGGACGCACCAAGGGUGAAUCAGUUGUCGUGCCAACGGCAUAGCUGGGUAGCCACGUGCGGAUCGGAUAAACGCUGAAGGCAUCUAAGCGUGAAGCCGACCUCAAGAUAAGAUCUCCCAUUCGGUUAACGAAGUAAGACCCCUUGUAGACCACAAGGUUGAUAGGUCGGAGGUGGAAGCGCGGUAACGCGCGAAGCUGACCGAUACUAAUCGGUCGAGGGCUUGAUCAA